rnacentral:rRNA from 1 species
CUAAGUUUGAUGGCGACCGGCGCACGGGUGAGUAACACGUAUCCAACCUGCCGAUGACUCGGGGAAAGCCUUUCGAAAGAAAGAUUAAUACCCGAUGGCAUAGUUCUUCCGCAUGGUGGAACUAUUAAAGAAUUUCGGUCAUCGAUGGGGAUGCGUUCCAUUAGGUAGUUGGCGGGGUAACGGCCCACCAAGCCUUCGAUGGAUAGGGGUUCUGAGAGGAAGGUCCCCCACAUUGGAACUGAGACACGGUCCAAACUCCUACGGGAGGCAGCAUG